rnacentral:tRNA from 1 species
UAGAGUGGAGUAUGGUGGGAAGUACGAAGAGUUUUGGACUCUUAUGUGGAGGUUCGAGUCCUCUCUAUCUAG